UCCGACUUCACGUCGGCGGUCCUGAUAGAGUGCUCGGCCGAACCGCUAGCAACUAUCAGCAGGGGUUGCGCUCGUUGCAGGACUUAACCCAACAUCUCACGACACGAGCUGACGACAGCCAUGCAGCACCUCGACAGCGGCCCCGAAGGGAAGGUACAUCUCUGCACCGGUCCACUGCCGUUCGAACCCAGGUAAGGUUCUUCGCGUUGCGUCGAAUUAAACCACAUGCUCCACCGCUUGUGCGGGCCCCCGUCAAUUCCUAUGAGUUUCAACCUUGCGGCCGUACUCCCCAGGCGGGACGCUUAAUGCGUUAGCUGCGCCACUGAUAAGCAUGCUUACCAACGGCUAGCAUCCAUCGUUUACGGCGUGGACUAC
rnacentral:misc_RNA from 1 species